AUUUUCCGGUUGAUCCUGCCGGACCCUACUGCUAUCGGGGUGGGGCUAAGACAGGCGAGUCGAACGACUUCUAGCCAUGAUGAAGUCGUGGCAUACGGCUCAGUAACACGUGGCUAACCUACCCUUGAGACGGAGACAACCCCGGGAAACUGGGGCUAAUCCCAGAUAGAUGAGAACUCCUGGAACGGGUUUUCGUCCAAAGGACAUCAAGAUCAUGCUUCUUGGUGUUGCUCAAGGAUGGGGCCGCGACCGAUCAGGCUGUUGGUGAGGUAACGGCUCACCAAACCUUUAACCGGUACGGGCCGUGGGAGCGGGAGCCCGGAGAUGGGAACUUAGACAAGGUCCCAGGCCCUACGGGGCGCAGCCGUUGCGAAAACUUGUCAAUGCACGAAAGUGUGAACAGGCUACCCCGAGUGCUGUCCGCUGAGGAUGGCUUUUCUCUGCUGUUAAAAGGCGGGGGAAUAAGGAGAGGGCAAGUCUGGUGUCAGCCGCCGCGGUAAUACCAGCUCUCCGAGUGGUGGGGACGAUUAUUGGGCUUAAAGCGUCCGUAGCCUGCCUUUCAAGUCUCUCGUUAAAUCCGGCGAUUCAAUCGUUGGACUGCGGGAGAUACUGUUAGGCUAGGGGGCGGGAGAAGCCGACGGUAUUUCCGGGGUAGGGGUAAAAUCCUAUAAUCCCGGGAGGACCACCAGUGGCGUAGGCGGUCGGCUAGCACGCGCUCGACGGUGAGGGACGAAAGCUGGGGGAGCAAACCGGAUUAGAUACCCGGAUAGUCCCAGCUGUAAACGAUGCGGGCUAGGUGUUGGGGUGGCCACGAGCCACUUCAGUGCCGCAGGGAAGCCAUUAAGCCCGCCGCCUGGGGAGUACGGCCGCAAGGCUGAAACUUAAAGGAAUUGGCGGGGGAGCACCACAAGGGGUGAAGCUUGCGGUUCAAUUGGAUUCAACGCCGGAAU
rnacentral:rRNA from 1 species